UUAUUGAUCAGUUCACUGCAGGCAACCAGUCUUGGAUCAAGUGUCCUUUUGUCAGGAGACUCCAAGUGUGGGAUGUGAGCUGGACACCGCAGGGUUUGACGCUGACCUCACACAUCAACGCCACUUUCCGCAUUGACGCAUGCACGCCGUCCCAAGGCUCUGCGGCGUGUCGCACGACGGGGGCCCGCAUGACUGCACAAGUGGGGGAGCACUCGUCCAUUGGCCUGACCUUGCCGGACGCUCACUCUUGUAUUCAUGUGAGGAGGAUCGAUGUGAAUUACGCCGCCACGGUCCUUCACUGUUUCACCCAGGAACCCGGUAAGGAGCCAUGCAAAAAGCAACACCCUUUUUUUCCCCACUGUGUU